rnacentral:rRNA from 1 species
CACGCCGUAAACGAUGAAUACUAGGUGUAGGGGGUAUCGACCCCCCCUGUGCCGACGUUAACACAUUAAGUAUUCCACCUGGGGAGUACGGCCGCAAGGCUGAAACUCAAAGGAAUUGACGGGGACCCGCACAAGCAGUGGAGUAUGUGGUUUAAUUCGACGCAACGCGAAGAACCUUACCAAGGCUUGACAUCCUCUGAUCGCUGUAGAAAUACAGUUUUCCCUUCGGGGACAGAGAGACAGGUGG